rnacentral:rRNA from 2 species
CACAUGAACAUCGACAUUUCGAACGCACAUUGCGGUCCACGGAUACAAUUCCCGGACCACGCCUGGCUGAGGGUCGUU